UACGUAGGGGGCAAGCGUUGUCCGGAGUUACUGGGCGUAAAGCGCACGCAGGCGGUCUGCUAAGUUUGGAGUGACAGUUGGGGGCUCAACUCCCAAAGUGCUUUGAAAACUGACAGACUUGAGGGCUUCAGAGGGACACGGAAUUCCCGGUGUAGCGGUGAAAUGCGUAGAGAUCGGGAGGAACAUCAGUGGCGAAGGCGGCCCUCUGGACCAGCACUGACGCUGAGGCACGAAAGCGUGGGGAGCAAACAGG
rnacentral:rRNA from 1 species